AGAAAGAAAGAAACAUGUGAAUGCGGUUAUUGUUAGUCAAAAAGGUGUCUUCACCCACUCCCACUCAUUAUCAAUUCCACCCACUCUCACUCAUUAUGUUUCCUCACCCACCCACUCCACCUUCUACUUUUCUACCUACCUCAUAAUUUAGCCAACCUCUCUCCUCCUCAUUUGGCUAUAAAAAGAAGCUAAGGAAGAAGGAUGAUACACACCAACAAAAAUCAGCAUACUCCAUCCGAGAGUUUAAGGAGAAAAGGAGAGAAGGAGAGAAAGAAAAGCUUCUGUGAAGCUUUAGAAAAUAGAGAAGGAGAAAGAUAGUUCAAAUAAAAGGGUGUUUUAUUUGGGUUCCAUCACAUAGUUAUUGUGGUGAAGUAAUUUGAGUUUGUACUCAAAUUAAGAUAUCUUUGUAUUCUCUCAUAUUAUUCUAGUGGAUUUUUUCGGAGAUCGUCCCGUGAUUUUUACCUCUUAGUUUUAGAGGGUUUUCCACGUAAAAAUUCUUGGUGUCUCGUGGUUUGAUAAUCUUGGUGUCUCGUGGUUUGAUAAUCUUGGUGUCUCGUGGUUUGAUAAUCUUGGUGUCUCUUUGUUUGUUUUUCUUUCUUAUUAUUCAUUUAAUUUAUCAACAACAACAGUCUUUGGGUGGUGUUUUUCCCAACAAAAAUGAGGCUAAGGAAGAAGGAUGAAAUACACCAACAAAAAUCAGCAUACUCCAUCCGAGAGUUUAAGGAGAGAAGGAGAGAAGGAGAGAAAGAAAAGCUUCUGUGAAGCUUUAGAAAAUAGAGAGGGAGAAAGAUAGUUCAAAUAGAAGGGUGUUUUAUUUGGGUUCCAUCACAUAGUUAUUGUGGUGAAGUAAUUUGAGUUUGUACUCAAAUUAAGAUAUCUUUGUAUUCUCUCAUAUUAUUCUAGUGGAUUUUUCGGAGAUCGUCC
rnacentral:lncRNA from 1 species